UGGGUGGCCUGCUUUUAUUCCCUUAUCUGGCCUCACCUACAUUCUGCUGAUUGGUCCAUUUCACAAAGAGCUGAUUGGUCUGUUUUACAAAAUGCUAAUUGGUCCGUUUUGACAGAGUGCUGAUUGGUGCAUUUACAAACCUUUAGCUAGACACAGAGCGCUGAUUGGUGCAUUUACAAUCCUUUAGCUAGACAGAAAAGUUCUCCAAGUCCCCACCGGACCCAGAAGCACAACCGGCUGGCACUCAUCAAGAGAGUUUGCUGCACCUAGCCCAGGUGCGCCUGCAGUGCAGAGCGAGCUCCUCCCAGUCAAUCAAGAGGAAAAGAGAGGAAGCGAGAAAACCACGGAGACCUGCUAUGGUGGCCAACGAUCCCGCAAAGAGGGAACCGCGGUCCACUCACGGGAUUCAGCCUCCCGUCAAGCCCAGCAGGCGCAGGCCGCGCCCAGUGCGGGGCUUGCCCAGCCACUGAACCCGGUCCAGCCCCGGAGCGCCGCGCCUGCCUCUGUCUUCACACUUCCCCGCCAGCAGAGGGAGCCAGCUCCGGCCUUGGCGAGGCCCAGAGAGGGGCCUUCCUAACGCAGCGGCGGGCUGAGGGGCUCCUGGAGCGCCGCCAGAGCAGACACGGAGACCGAGGAGGCACCGAGAGCCAGCGAGGGCUGCUAGCACGUUGUCACCUCUCAAAGCCAUCAAUAUGA
rnacentral:lncRNA from 1 species